AACCAGCACCUCAAGUGGUCAGGAUGAUUAUUGGGCCUAAAGCAUCCGUAGCUCGUUUUGUAAGUUUUCGGUUAAAUCCAUGCGCUUAACGUAUGGGCUGCCGGGAAUACUGCAUAACUAGGAAGUGGGAGAGGUAGACGGUACUCGGGAGGAAGGGGUAAAAUCCUUUGAUCUCUUGAUGACCACCUGUGGCGAAGGCGGUCUACCAGAACACGUUCGACGGUGAGGGAUGAAAGCUGGGGGAGCAAACCGG
rnacentral:rRNA from 1 species